rnacentral:rRNA from 1 species
GAUUAACGCUGGCGGCGUGCCUAACACAUGCAAGUCGAACGAUGAAACUUAGUAGACUUCUUCGGAAAGACACUAAGCGGAUUAGUGGCGAACGGGUGAGUAACGCGUGAGUAACCUGCCUUACACAAGGGGAUAGCCUUUGGAAACGAAGAAUAAUACCCUAUAAAACUAUAAAAGCACAUGCUAGAAUGGUCAAAGUGCUAGCGGUGUAAGAUGGACUUGCGUCUGAUUAGCUAGUUGGUGAGAUAAAAGCUCACCAAGGCAACGAUCAGUAGCCGGCUUGAGAGAGUGUACGGCCACAUUGGGACUGAGACACGGCCCAGACUCCUACGGGAGGCAGCAGUGGGGAAUUUUGCACAAUGGGGGAAACCCUGAUGCAGCGACGCCGCGUGAUUUAGAAGGCCUUCGGGUUGUAAAAAUCUUUUGUAUAGGAAGAAAAUGACAGUACUAUACGAAUAAGGUCCGGCUAAUUACGUG